AAUAAGGGGAGAACCAUCGGUUGAGAUAUUCGAUAAUGCGGUUGUUUGAGCAGCCAAUGUUACAAACCUAUCAUCUGUAUAGGAUGCCUCCAUCCAUCCAAGUCGGGAUCCCUGCAGGUAGAGGUGUUGGA
rnacentral:rRNA from 1 species